AAUGCGAAUACAUGUCAAAGUUGUAUUUCUUCCACUAAUACACACUUUAAGUAUCUCUGUUUCACUUUGUUCUGUCUAAAAUGGGACACAAUUUCUAUAGCACAACAAUGCAUCAACAAAUUAACAGAAAUCACACACCUUUCGAUUAGAAAUGAAAUCUACUUGACAGUUGCAUGAAAUUGGUUUUCACCGGUACAAAGAAGUAAACGAUUAUGUUUUGCUUUGUUUCUUGUUUCUUUCAUUUGUAUUCCUGGAAGUUCACAUGUCCAGUUGCUUGUGCAUGCUCUACAGCUUCCUUUUGGCCAAUGACCCCAAUUUGGCAAACUCCACAUCGCAACGUGAAGUUGGCUGUGUCAGUAUAGCUCCUCUUCCUUUGUUGGUCCUUAACCAGAUUAAGAGCAAGCCUCUCCGCAGGUCCUACAGUCCCAUCUCUCUGUACAGAAAAAAUUGUUUGAUCAAAAUCCUCCGGAGCUCCUUCAGCAGGGGACAUCUGUUGAUUGUCACAUGAAACUAGGUGUAAGUAGGUACAGACUUAAAAAAGGAAAUCUAACUUCAAGCUUUGUCAAAAGAUGGG
rnacentral:misc_RNA from 1 species